rnacentral:rRNA from 1 species
GCUACGGGUGGCUGCAGUGGGGAAUAUUGCACAAUGGGCGCAAGCCUGAUGCAGCAACGCCGCGUGAGUGAUGAAGGUCUUCGGAUUGUAAAGCUCUGUCUUUGGGGACGAUAAUGACGGUACCCAAGGAGGAAGCCACGGCUAACUACGUGCCAGCAGCCGCGGUAAUACGUAGGUGGCAAGCGUUGUCCGGAGUUACUGGGCGUAAAGGGUGCGUAGGUGGAUAUUUAAGUCAGAUGUGAAAUCCCUGGGCUCAACCCCGUACCUGCAUUUGAAACUGGAUGUCUAGCGUGCGGGAGAGGUAAGUGGAAUUCCUAGUGUAGCGGUGAAAUGCGUAGAGAUUAGGAAGAACACCAGUGGCGAAGGCGACUUACUGGACCGUAACUGACACUGAGGCACGAAAGCGUGGGUAGCAAACAGGAUUAGAUACCCCUGUAGUC